rnacentral:rRNA from 1 species
GACCAGACUCCUACGGGAGGCAGCAGUGGGGAAUAUUGCACAAUGGGGGAAACCCUGAUGCAGCGACGCCGCGUGAGCGAUGAAGUAUUUCGGUAUGUAAAGCUCUAUCAGCAGGGAAGAAGAUGACGGUACCUGACUAAGAAGCCCUGGCUAACUACGUGCCAGCAGCCGCGGUAAUACGUAGGGGGCAAGCGUUAUCCGGAUUUACUGGGUGUAAAGGGAGCGUAGACGGCGAUGCAAGCCAGAUGUGAAAGCCCGGGGCUCAACCCCGGGACUGCAUUUGGAACUGUGUGGCUGGAGUGUCGGAGAGGCAGGCGGAAUUCCUAGUGUAGCGGUGAAAUGCGUAGAUAUUAGGAGGAACACCAGUGGCGAAGGCGGCCUGCUGGACGAUGACUGACGUUGAGGCCCGAAAGCGUGGGGAGCAAACAGGAUUAGAUACCCCUGUAUU